rnacentral:snoRNA from 1 species
UUUGGUGCUCGUGAUGACUUGAGACUUUUUUCCCCAUCAGAGCGGAAGUGUUGAAUUCUUUGCUAUUUAGCCAGAACUUGUCUGACUGCACCAAU